GGGCGGCGUGCUAUACAUGCAGUCGAACGCACAGCGAAAGGUGCUUGCACCUUUCAAGUGAGUGGCGAACGGGUGAGUAACACGUGGACAACCUGCCUCAAGGCUGGGGAUAACAUUUGGAAACAGAUGCUAAUACCGAAUAAAACUUAGUGUCGCAUGACACAAAGUUAAAAGGCGCUUCGGCGUCACCUAGAGAUGGAUCCGCGGUGCAUUAGUUAGUUGGUGGGGUAAAGGCCUACCAAGCAAUGAUGCAUAGCCGAGUUGAGAGACUGAUCGGCCACAUUGGGACUGAGACACGGCCCAAACUCCUACGGGAGGCUGCAGUAGGGAAUCUUCCACAAUGGGCGAAAGCCUGAUGGAGCAACGCCGCGUGUGUGAUGAAGGCUUUCGGGUCGUAAAGCACUGUUGUAUGGGAAGAACAGCUAGAAUAGGAAAUGAUUUUAGUUUGACGGUACCAUACCAGAAAGGGACGGCUAAAUACGUGCCAGCAGCCGCG
rnacentral:rRNA from 1 species